AGAAAUAUGGUAUUCAUUUAGAGGUCUGUCCUUCUGUCCCGUCUGGAUGGCAAAAGUUAAAGCGCAGGAACAUUCCGUGUUGAGUGGUGGAAAGGUCUCCGCUUUGUCAAACGAUCACUAAUCACCCUCUGUUUAUCUCACAAACCACCUAGAUUGUAAAUAUCAGUUCUGUCUGCUGACUUGUGUACUUUGGUUUUGAAAUCAUGCUCUCAAGACUGCUGCUGUGACAUCUCAAAUAAAGGAAUGGCUUCA